UUAACUCAUAUUUGUAUGGAAUGGGAUCGUUUGCGUACGUUUGCCGCUAGGGGCGCUGUUCUAACUGCAUACAAAAUUGGGUUA
rnacentral:pre_miRNA from 1 species